rnacentral:rRNA from 1 species
UACGUAGGGUGCAAGCGUUGUCCGGAAUUAUUGGGCGUAAAGAGCUCGUAGGCGGUUUGUCGCGUCGGAUGUGAAAACCUGGGGCUUAACCCCGGGCCUGCAUUCGAUACGGGCAGACUAGAGUUCGGUAGGGGAGACUGGAAUUCCUGGUGUAGCGGUGAAAUGCGCAGAUAUCAGGAGGAACACCGGUGGCGAAGGCGGGUCUCUGGGCCGAUACUGACGCUGAGGAGCGAAAGCGUGGGGAGCGAACAGG